rnacentral:rRNA from 1 species
UGGGCGUAAAGAGCGUGUAGGCGGGUUAAUAAGUUUGAAGUGAAAUCCUAUGGCUCAACCAUAGAACUGCUUUGAAAACUGUUAACCUAGAAUAUGGGAGAGGUAGAUGGAAUUUCUGGUGUAGGGGUAAAAUCCGUAGAGAUCAGAAGGAAUACCGAUUGCGAAGGCGAUCUACUGGAACAUUAUUGACGCUGAGACGCGAAAGCGUGGGGAGCAAACAGGAUUAGAUACCCUGGUAGUCCACGCCCUAAACGAUGUACACUAGUUGUUGUGAGGCUAGACCUUGCAGUAAUGCAGUAAACACAUUAAGUGUACCGCCUGGGGAGUACGGUCGCAAGAUUAAAACUCAAAGGAAUAGACGGGGACCCGCACAAGCGGUGGAGCAUGUGGUUUAAUUCGACGAUACGCGAAGAACCUUACCUGGACUUGACAUAGUAAGAACUUUCUAGAGAUAGAUUGGUGUCUGCUUGCAGAAGCUUAUAUACAGGUGCUGCACGGCUGUCGUCAGCUCGUGUCGUGAGAUGUUGGGUUAAGUCCCGCAACGAGCGCAACCCUCGUCGUUAGUUGCUAACAGUUCGGCUGAGAACUCUAACGAGACUGCCUGGGUAACCAGGAGGAAGGUGAGGACGACGUCAAGUCAUCAUGGCCCUUACGUCCAGGGCUACACACGUGCUACAAUGGGGUAUACAAAGAGCAGCGAUACGGUGACGUGGAGCAAAUCUCAAAAAUAUCUCCCAGUUCGGAUAGUAGUCUGCAACUCGACUACUUGAAGUUGGAAUCGCUAGUAAUCGUAGAUCAGCAAUGCUACGGUGAAUACGUUCCCGGGUCUUGUACUCACCGCCCGUCACACCAUGGGAGUUGAACUCAUUCGAAGCGGGGAUGCUAAAGUAGC